rnacentral:rRNA from 1 species
GAUGAACGCUAGCGGAAGGCUUAAUACAUGCAAGUCGAGCGAGAAUGAAGGUGCUUGCACUUUCAGGGAAGCGGCGCACGGGUGAGUAACGCGUACAUGACCUACCCAUAAGAAGGGGAUAGCCCUGGGAAACUGGGAUUAAUACCCUAUGUGAUUAGUGUUGUUAGAGGAUACUAAUUAAAGUUGAGGCGCUUAUGGAUGGGUGUGCGUCUGAUUAGCUAGUUGGUGAGGUAACGGCUCACCAAGGCGACGAUCAGUAGGGGGCGUGAGAGCGUGAUCCCCCACACGGGUACUGAGACACGGACCCGACUCCUACGGGAGGCAGCAGUAAGGAAUAUUGGACAAUGCCCGCAAGGGUGAUCCAGCCAUUCCGCGUGGAGGAUGAAGGCCCUAUGGGUUGUAAACUUCUUUUAGAUGGGAAGAAAGUGUGGUAUUUAUGCCAUUUUGACGGUACCAUCAGAAUAAGCACCGGCUAACUCCGUG